rnacentral:tRNA from 1 species
UCCUGAAUAGCUCAGUGGUAGAGCAAUCGGCUGUUAACCGAUCGGUCGUAGGUUCGAGCCCUACUUCAGGAG